rnacentral:rRNA from 1 species
UGGGGAAUCUUGCACAAUGGGCGAAAGCCUGAUGCAGCAACGCCGCGUGGGGGAUGAAGGCUCUCGGGUUGUAAACCCCUUUCAGCAGGAACGAAUCUGACGGUACCUGCAGAAGAAGGCCCGGCCAACUACGUGCCAGCAGCCGCGGUAACACGUAGGGGCCAAGCGUUGUCCGGAUUUAUUGGGCGUAAAGAGCUCGUAGGCGGUUCAGUAAGUCGGGUGUGAAAACUCUGGGCUCAACUCGGAGACGCCACCUGAUACUGCUGUGACUAGAGUCCGGUAGGGGAGCAGGGAAUUCCAGGUGUAGCGGUGAAAUGCGCAGAUAUCUGGAGGAACACCGGUGGCGAAGGCGCUGCUCUGGGCCGGUACUGACGCUGAGGAGCGAAAGCGUGGGUAGCAAACAG